ACCUUAUGUUUCCUACAAGGUUGAAAGAACAAGUUUUCCCACAGUCAGACGCAUAAUGGCAGGUUUAUAAUUAACGUAAGAAUGUUUACAAGGGCGUAGGUAGAGAACCAACCUUGUGUCGCCCGUGUCUUUUUUGAAAGAGAAGCCGAGCAGAGCGAUUUUUUUGCCUGACACCGUGUUGAAGAGGCAGUCAAUGAUUCUGCAGGCAAAGCGCCGCCUUUGGUACUCAUUCA